AACGCUGGCGGCGUGCUUAACACAUGCAAGUCGAACGGUGAAAGAGAGCUUGCUCUCUGGAUCAGUGGCGAACGGGUGAGUAACACGUGAGCAAUCUGCCCCUGACUCUGGGAUAAGCGCUGGAAACGGCGUCUAAUACCGGAUGCGAGCUGCGAAGGCAUCUUCAGCAGCUGGAAAGAACUUCGGUCAGGGAUGAGCUCGCGGCCUAUCAGCUAGUUGGUGAGGUAAUGGCUCACCAAGGCGUCGACGGGGUAGCCGGCCUGAGAGGGUGACCGGCCACACUGGGACUGAGACACGGCCCAGACUCCUACGGGAGGCAGCAGUGGGGAAUAUUGCACAAUGGGCGCAAGCCUGAUGCAGCAACGCCGCGUGAGGGACGACGGCCUUCGGGUUGUAAACCUCUUUUAGCAGGGAAGAAGCGAAAGUGACGGUACCUGCAGAAAAAAGCACCGGCUAACUACGUGCCAGCAGCCGCGGUAAUACGUAGGGUGC
rnacentral:rRNA from 1 species